GACGAACGCUGGCGGCGUGCCUAACACAUGCAAGUCGAACGAAGCAUCUGGAGCUGAUUUCUUCGGAAUGACGCACCUUAUGACUGAGUGGCGGACGGGUGAGUAACACGUGAGCAACCUGCCCUUCGGUGAGGAAUAGCAGCUGGAAACGGCUGGUAAUACCUCAUAACAUAGUCCAUCCGCAUGUUUGGACUAUCAAAGAUUUAUCGCCGAUGGAUGGGCUCGCGUCCGAUUAGGUAGUUGGUGAGGUAACGGCCCACCAAGCCGACGAUCGGUAGCCGGACUGAGAGGUUGAUCGGCCACAUUGGGACUGAGACACGGCCCAG
rnacentral:rRNA from 1 species